GUGGGUAGUUUGACUGGGGCGGUCUCCUCCCAAAGCGUAACGGAGGAGCACGAAGGUUAGCUAAUCCUGGUCGGACAUCAGGAGGUUAGUGCAAUGGCAUAAGCUAGCUUGACUGCGAGCGUGACGGCGCGAGCAGGUGCGAAAGCAGGUCAUAGUGAUCCGGUGGUUCUGAAUGGAAGGGCCAUCGCUCAACGGAUAAAAGGUACUCCGGGGAUAACAGGCUGAUACCGCCCAAGAGUUCAUAUCGACGGCGGUGUUUGGCACCUCGAUGUCGGCUCAUCACAUCCUGGGGCUGAAGUAGGUCCCAAGGGUAUGGCUGUUCGCCAUUUAAAGUGGUACGCGAGCUGGGUUUAGAACGUCGU
rnacentral:rRNA from 1 species